UGGGGAAUUUUGCGCAAUGGGGGAAACCCUGACGCAGCAACGCAGCGUGAGUGAUGAAGGCCUUCGGGUCGUAAAGCUCUGUCAGAGGGAAAGAAAUGUACGAGGGUUAAUACCCCUUGUACUUGACGGUACCCUCAAAGGAAGCACCGGCUAACUCCGUGCCAGCAGCCGCGGUAAUACGGAGGGUGCGAGCGUUGUUCGGAUUUAUUGGGCGUAAAGCGCGUGUAGGCGGCUUCUUAAGUCUGAUGUGAAAGCCCUGGGCUCAACCCGGGAAGUGCAUUGGAAACUGGGAAACUUGAAUACGGGAGAGGGUAGUGGAAUUCCUGGUGUAGGAGUGAAAUCCGUAGAUAUCAGGAGGAACACCGGUGGCGAAGGCGGCUGCCUGGACCGAUAUUGACGCUGAGACGCGAAAGCGUGGGGAGCAAACAGGAUUAGAUACCCUGGUAGUCCACGCCGUAAACGAUGAGUACUAGGUGUUGCGGGUAUUGACCCCUGCAGUGCCGCAGCUAACGCAUUAAGUACUCCGCCUGGGAAGUACGGUCGCAAGACUA
rnacentral:rRNA from 1 species